UACAGAGGGUGCGAGCGUUGUCCGGAAUCACUGGGCGUAAAGGGCGCGUAGGUGGCGAUCCAAGUCCAUGGUGAAAGCUCGAUGCUCAACAUCGAGUCGGCCACGGAUACUGGGUUGCUUGAGCACUGUAGGGGCAGAUGGAAUUCCGGGUGUAGCGGUGGAAUGCGUAGAGAUCCGGAAGAACACCAGUGGCGAAGGCGGCUCACUGGCCCGAUACUGACGCUGAGGCACGAAAGCGUGGGGAGCAAACAGG
rnacentral:rRNA from 1 species